GACGAACGCUGGCGGCGUGCUUAACACAUGCAAGUCGAACGAAGAGCGAUGGAAGCUUGCUUCUAUCAAUCUUAGUGGCGAACGGGUGAGUAACGCGUAAUCAACCUGCCCUUCAGAGGGGGACAACAGUUGGAAACGACUGCUAAUACCGCAUACGAUCCAAUCUCGGCAUCGGGACUGGAUGAAAGGUGGCCUCUAUUUAUAAGCUAUCACUGAAGGAGGGGAUUGCGUCUGAUUAGCUAGUUGGAGGGGUAACGGCCCACCAAGGCGAUGAUCAGUAGCCGGUCUGAGAGGAUGAACGGCCACAUUGGGACUGAGACACGGCCCAGACUCCUAAGGGAGGCAGCAGUGGGGAAUCUUCCGAAAUGGACGAAAGUCUGACGGAGCAACGCCGCGUGAGUGAUGACGGCCUUCGGGUUGUAAAGCUCGGUUAAUCGGGACGAAUGGUUCUUGUGCGAAUAGUGCGAGGAUUUGACGGUACCGGAAUAGAAAGCCACGGCUAACUACGUG
rnacentral:rRNA from 1 species